rnacentral:rRNA from 1 species
CCUACGGGUGGCAGCAGUGGGGAAUAUUGCACAAUGGGGGGAACCCUGAUGCAGCGACGCCGCGUGAGUGAAGAAGUCAUUCGUGAUGUAAAGCUCUAUCAGCAGGGAAGAAAAUGACGGUACCUGACUAAGAAGCCCCGGCUAACUCCGUGCCAGCAGCCGCGGUAAUACGGAGGAUGCGAGCGUUAUCCGGAUUUAUUGGGUUUAAAGGGUGCGUAGGCGGAUUUUUAAGUCAGCGGUAAAAUGUCCGGGUUCAACCCGGGCCGGCCGUUGAAACUGGGGAUCUUGAGUGGGCGAGAAGUAUGCGGAAUGCGUGGUGUAGCGGUGAAAUGCAUAGAUAUCACGCAGAACUCCGAUUGCGAAGGCAGCAUACCGGCGCCCGACUGACGCUGAGGCACGAAAGCGUGGGGAUCGAACAGGAUUAGAUACCCGGGUAGUC